ACAUAUACUGUGGUUCCUGAGUCUAGUUCAGAUCUGCAAUUAAUGAAUACUAUGGCCACCAUCUCAGCCUGGAAACGGUUCCUGAGUAAUGUGACUCUGGGAGAUCUAGCCAGUAGGGAUAUGCAAAACUUCAUUUUUAAUUAGUAAGUUAUAUCUAAUUUGUAAGUUUUGUGCAUACAAACAGAUAUUAAGAAACACGGGGGGAAGGCCCCCAUGUAAAAACUUAAGAAUCAAAACUCACCCAAUACUUUUUCAUUUGAAUUCUGUAAUGCUCAGAAGUCUAUCAAAGUCAGUUUCAUUUUCAGCAUGAGGCGACGCCAAAAAAGGCUGCAAUUCCUCCUUAAAUUAAUGGCCUUUCACCAUGAGGAGAAGAAAGCAGCAGAGUGUGACAAGCUGAGUGACCUGGGAAAGAGACUGAGACAGUACAGAAUUCUGGGGAAUGUAGUUUGGGAAGGCGAGGAGCCCUAUGGCAGAGAAUUCAAACGGCCCCGCAUGCCCUAAACUACAUUUCCCAGAAUUCUGCUCAGAAUCAGAAAGCUCCAAUUUGGACAGGGGAGAGAGCAGCCAGAGUUCCAAUAAAUUGUUGAAUCUGCAAAAGGGAGGACUGACUGAUACUUUAAUACAAGUAAGUAAAUCAUUUCUGUACUGGGAAGAAACCCCUAAAUUGAGGUUCUAUUGGUUAAUAGAAGAGAUAUUCAAUGAGAUAGCUGUUGUGGCUUUUUAAACAUUUUUGUUAAAACUUUUUUAAAAUCCUAAAUAUCAAUAGAUGUAUGAAUAUUUCUGAAACUGUCAUUUUUUCAAAAUAAUUCAGUUUUUUCAUUUAUCGGUUUCAGUUCUGAUGUUCUGAAAUCACCAAAGAAGAAUUUCAAAUGAAUAACCAACUCCUGUAGGAAAAGGUUUGCAAGGCUAAAGAACAAAAUGAGCUUUGGCUUGCCAGAUACAUUAAAAACAAUAAAAAGGGCUUCUUUGCUUAUAUCCAUAGAAAAAGGAAGAACAAGGAGGCAAUAGAGCCUCAGCUAGGAGAAGAUGGGGGUAAUGCUAAAAGGAGAUAGGGAAAAGGCAAAACUACUUAAUGCCUUCUUUCCCUCAGUCUUCUCACAAAAAGAAAGCUGUUCUCAACUUUAGCAACAUGGAAUGGAUGAAGGAUUAGGGGAAAUUCAACCCCAAAUAGGGAAAUAAGUCAUCCAGGAAUACCUCGCCACUCUAAACGAAUUAAAGUCCCCAGGGCCAGAUCAACUACAUCCAAGAGUAUUGAAGGAACUAGCGAAAGUCAUUUCGGAACCACUGGCAAUUAUCUUUAAGAGUUCUUGGAGAACGGGAGAAGUCCCUGGCAGACUGGAGAAGGGUGAAUGUUGUCACUAUCUUCAAGAAGGGAAAAAAGGACGACCCAAACAAUUACCAUCCAGUCAGCCACAUGUCAAUACUAGGCAAUACCAGGAUUCUGGAAAAGAUCAUUAAGGAAGUGGUCUACAAACACUUAGAAAGGAAUGCAGUCAUCGCUAAUAGUCAACAUGGAUUUAUCAAAAAUAAGUCAUGCCAGACAAAUCUGAUCUCUUUUUUCGAUAUAGAUGCAGGGAAUGCAGUGGAUGUAGCGUAUCUGGAUUUCAGUAAGGCCUUCGACAAGAUUCCCCAUGACUUUCUGGAAACAAACUAGUCAAAUGUGGGCUAGGCAAAACUAUGGUUAGGUGGAUCUGUAAUUGGUUAAGCGAAUGAACCAAAAGGGUGAUUCUCACCAAUGCUUCCUCUUCAUCCUGGAAAGUGACAAGUGGAGUGCCGCAGGGUUCUGUCCUGGCCCAGUUCUGUUCAACAUCUUUAUUAAUGACUUAUGAAGGCAGUUUGCAGACGACACCAAAUUGGGAGGGAUGGCUAAUACUCCAGAGGACAGGAUCAGAAUCCAAAAUGAUCUUAACAGAUUAGAGAGAUGGGCCGAAACUAAAAUAAUGAAGUUCAACAGGGACAAAUGACAGAUACUCCACUUAGGCAGAAAAAAAAUUGAAUGUAAAGAUGCCUGGCUCGACAGCAGUACGUGUGAAAAAGAUCUUGGAGUCCUUGUGGGGAAGAAGGUGAACAUGAGUCAACAAUGUGAUGCAGCUGCAAGAAAGGCCAACGGGAUUUUGGCCUGCAUCAGUAGGAGUAUAGUGUCUAGAUGCAGGGAAGUAAUGCCACCCCUCUAUUCUGCCUUGGUCAGACCACACCAGGAAUCACACGGUGUCCAAUUCUGGGCACCGCAGUUUAAGGGAAAUGUUGAGAAGCUGGAAUGUGUCCAGAGGAGGGCGACUAAAAUGAUCAAGGGCCUGGAGAACAAGCCCUAUGAGGAGCGGCUUAAAGAGCUGGGCAUGUUUAGCCUGCAGAAGAGAAGGCUGAGAUGAGACAUGAUGGCCAUGUAUAAAUAUGUGAGAGGAAGUCAUAGGGAGGAGGGAGCAGGCUUGUUUUCUGCUGCCCUGGAGACUAGAACAUGGAACAAUGGCUUCAAACUACAGGAAAGGAGAUUCAACCUGAACAUUAGGAAAAACUUCCUCACUGUGAGAGCUGUUCAGCAGUGGAACUCUCUCCCUCGGAGUGUGGUGGAGGCUCCUUCUUUGGAGGCUUUUAAGCAGAGGCUGGGUGGCCAUCUGCCAGGGGUGCUUUGUAUGCGAUUUUCCUGCUUUUAAAAGGGUUGGACUGGAUGGCCCAUGAGGUCUCUUCCAACUCUAUGAUUCUAUGAUUCAGUGUCAUGCCUGAUGUUAUAUCACUUCUUUCACUUCAGUUUUAAAUUCUUUUUUAAAAUGAGUCUUCAUGUAGUUUUUUAUUCAGAUUCCGUUUGUGGCAGUUUUAAGCUGUUCUAAAACGUUUUGUAACAUGGGUACUGAUUUUCCACGGAUCUCCUUUCAAGCACUCUUGUCAUAGAUUGAAGAGUAGAGUUCAUUGUAUCCACAGGGACAUAAAAAGAGGCAAGGGGAUACUAGUUGCAAUGACUAUUUCCCACCACCAGGUGUCGCUCUCGACUCCAGUACAGUCUUGUACACUCUUUAAGGCAGGGAUCUGGCAGCGGCAACUUUCCAUAGCUCUACCUGACCUUAUCCAUAUUGGAUUCGAAAGAAAUCCGUUCCUCACAACGUAUGUCCCUUAAAAGUACUUCAAGAACUAGUAUAAAUAGAAGUGGUGAGAGUAAGCAUCCUGUCACAAGGCAUUUUUGCUAUCUGUGCUGCUGUUCAGAAGAUUUCACCUCACUUUCUGUCCCUGGGAUAAUCAGAUUUUGAAAAAUUUAGCUGGUUGUGGAAACAAGGAUUGGUAAUAAAGAUUCAGUGGAGACAUCUUUUCCCCAUGAUAACUCUUUCAGGAGCGAAUUUCCCUUCCAAGGGGGAGAUUUCUCUCACAUCCUGUUGUCUCACUCCCAUUCUUAAGUAUGAGUCAUUUGUAAGUCAGAUGUUUGUGACUUGGGAACUGCCUGUACUUGGAAGUACACAUUUCUACUCAAAACAAAGGUAUAUUUAAUUUCUUGUUUCUCCCACAAAAUGGAAGAAUGACUAGAACUGCUGUUGAUUAUGAUCCAAAUCAGCCUUCACUACCUGGGUUCCUUCAAAUAAGAGAUUUGCAAUCUAGUGUCCUCUGGGUUUUCUUUUUGUCUACAAUCACUGUUGGCCAUGAUAUCUGGUGCUCAUGACAGCUGUUGGCAAAAAUGGCAGGAGGCAUCCAGAUUUCUAAAGUCUGGGCCAAACGGUAACUUAAUAGUAAUUCAUUGGGGUCAACUCAUACUUAUACCUCAGUUUGUGUAUAUUCAUAUUCAUAUUCUACUAGGAUAGAGGAGCUUUUGUUUAGGAUGAGAAGUUAACACCUUAUAACUCUGAAGUGUACUUCAUUGUUUAAGGAUGCUCAACAUGCUAUAGGAUUGUAUCUAAAUUAGGAAAAGAACAGUCUCUUAAAAGCUAUACUGCUUAAUUCUUAUGGGUUUUAGGGGAAGUUGGGCUGGUAUGUUUACUAUGGGACUGAUGAAUGAUGCACUCUUCCCACCACCUAUUAUUGGAUAAAUCUAUUUACACAGAAAAUAUUGACCUGGAACACUGAAGAGAGAUUGGAAACAGGAAAUUAGCAGGCCCCAAAGGUAGAAAUGAAUUUCUAGGCAAGAGUGUUAGAAAGUCAAGCCCAUAAACAAUAGCACUAUCAUUAAUUAUCUAGGUGAGGGCAGCCACAAAUAACACACUCAAAAGCCUUAUUGGUAUAUAAUGGAGGAAGAAGGCAAUUUCAAGUCUCCAUGCAUAACAUGUCUCCUUGUAGACUAAAGUGGUUACUUUGCGAUAGUCAGAAGCAAAAGUAAAAUAUGAGUUCUCCUUGGGGGAGGGGGGCAGGGAUUUCCAUACCCUACAAUAAAUUGUGGCAAGUUCUUGGUGGUAUGAGGAUACCAAGUCUGUAUAAAGACCAUGUAGCAACAGUAAGAACAGACAAGAACAGUAAGAACAGAAAUCACACUGGCAAUGAAGGUCUGCAUAGUUAAAACAAUGGUGUUCCCCGUAGUAACCUAUGGAUGUGAGAGCUGGACCAUAAGGAAGGCUGAGCGAAGGAAGAUAGACGCUUUUGAACUUUGGUGCUCGAGGAAACUUUGGAGAGUGCCUUGGACCACAAGAAGAUCAAACCAGUCCAUAUUCGAGGAAAUAAUGCCCGACUGCUCACUGGAGGGAAUGAUACUAAAGGCAAAGAUGAAGUACUUUGGUCACAUCAUGAGAAGAAGGAAAGCUUGGAGAAGAGAAUGAUACUGGGGAAAAUGGAAGGAAAAAGGAAGAGCGGCCGACCAAGGGCAAGAUGGAUGGAUGGUAUCCUUGAAGUGACUAGCUUGACCUUGAAGGAGCUGGGGGUGGCGACGGCUGACAGGAAGCUCUGUCAUGGCCUGGUCCAUGAGGUCACGAAGAGUCAGAAACGACUGAACGAAUAAACAAGAAUAAAAAGCAAAUGUCCCAGUUCAAGUGGAAUGGAUAUACUUACAGUAUUUUAUCACAUAAUAUCCACAAUUCCUAUCCCCUUUUUAUGGAAAAGGAGCAUCAACUUUUACAUGAUAUGAAAAAAACAUGGCUUGUCUGCCCACUUGCUCCCUUUCAGGCCCAGUGCUUCUUGCAACUGAGUCUGUGCUUUCAGACUCAGCCAUGGGAGGUACCGUGCCUGAAAGGUGAGCAGGCAAGGGAGCACGUGAGGGAGCAGAGCAGAUUCUCUCUUUGUGCUGGAAAGUACCCCAGAAAGAAUAGAAGAAGGGUUCAAUUUUAAAGUUCUGAUUGCUCACAAUAUAUUUUUUUCCAUUGAGCAGUGACUUUGCAGACCCCUUUCAGGACUUUCUCUCAGUUACUCCCUGGCAAAAGUUUAUCUGAUUUCUUUAACUGCCAUGCCUCAAUGCUAUGGAAUCAUGGGAGUUGUAGUUUGGUGAGCAACCAGUAAUAUUUGGCAUAAAAGGCUAAAGAAAACUGGAGAUCCCAUUAUUCUAUUGCAUUGAGCCAUGGCAGUUGAAAUGAUGUCAAAGAAUGGUGCUAGUUUUAUUUCCCCGGCUUCUUUUCACAAUUUCAGUAACCCCCCUUUCCCAGGCAGAGCCACUGUUCCCUCCAAGCAUGAAUUCCUUUAACGUUGCGAACUUAUCCAUGGUCCCCGAGUUCCCUCUGCACAGUUUGCAAAUGCUCCCUUGCUCCCCUCUUUAUCCCAAGGCAAGAGUCUGCUUACUUCACUUCCAUUCUAGAUGAGAGAAGGGAAACUGUGCCAUUGUGUUUCCUUCCGAGAAGAAUAUUGGUUGUGUCAUUGUCCACCCCUGCCACAUAUAAUACAGUAAAGAGCAUGUUAUAAUGAAGGAAGUGGAACAUAAAUGCCCUCCCCAAAUCUUAGGAGAUCUGGGUGUCAAAGAGUUAAUGUCUGAUCAUGGCCUUAUUAUCACACCAGGAGGCACAGAAAAGUUGGCAAGCUCCUCUACCCAGAUUCUCACUGCUACUAGUGAUGAGUGAUUUCAGAUAACCGCAAAAAGUGGGUUUGAGCUUGGAGUGCUUCAACAUUUCCAGUGAGCCAGAUUCAAGACAAGAAUCAGAUUUGUCAGCAACCAACAGAAGUUUAUUAAAUCCGGCCAGAUAGAAUGUCAAUAUAGAGUGGAUACACAAAAAGAACUGACAUAGAGCUUGCAGAGAAGUGCAGAGCCUUUUUUUUAAUUACAUCCAUUCAAAAUACCCACACCCUCCCCUGAUUGGUUGAAAAGCCAGCCUGGUUUCGAUCUGGGCUCCUGUUGGCUGGGUAACCCUUCUGAUGUCAUCAGCUGAAGGAGGUUCCCCCCAUGGACAGAAAGAGAAUCAGCUUUGGUUGGUAAAAUUAAAGUCCAACUCCAUUUAAAGAUCCAUCCCUGUGAGGGUGUGAGCCCAGAAAUGACCUCACAACCCCUGAGGAUGCCUGUCAUAGAUGUGGGCGAAACGUCAGGAGAGAAUACUUCUGGAACAUGGCCAUACAGCCCGGAAAACAUACAACAACCCUGUGAUCCUGGCCAUGAAAGCCUUCAACGACAGUCCAGGAAUGUAUUGAUGCAAAAUGCAAAUAGUUCCAUGAUUGACUUAAUGUCCAAUCCAGGUAAGCAUAAAGAGAUAGUCCGAAUGAUUGAGAUUAUCUGAUAAAACAAAGGCUGGUUCCACCCACAGCAGGUCUGAUACACAUCAAUGAAGACCAGGAAGUUUCCCAACACAUGUAAAUAUAUUUGUGAAUGGGACGAGAUUUGACAAUGGAAGGGUGUUGCGGUUUACGUACACACAAUAGAAAGCCCAUCAGUGAGACUUGGGCUCCAGGCUUGCAUACAUUAGCCAGUUCGGCCUGGCUUCCUGUCCUCAGGCACGAGAUUAAGUAAAACAGAUGUAUACAUUUGCAGUUCCAGUUAUACUUCCAAGGGUUCAGUUUCAUUUGAUUCCAUUUUGUAUCAUUUAUAUAAUGUCAUAAAAGUGGAUUUCAUACACAGGUGGAGAUAUAACUGGCCAGAUUUUUCUGCAAUUCAAGCAAAGCGACACUUUGGAAUUGUGAAAUCAGUAAAAGGAAAAAAAUAAAAUAAAAUCAUAUUUAA